UGUCUUAAUGAACAAGUGUCAGAUUCAUCUGAAUUUUCCAUUUAUGCAGGAAUUGUUUUUCUAUUCAGUGUGAUUGAAAAGAAAAAAUCGAAAACAUAGCAACUAUAACGCCUAUUAUCAAUUUGGAAAAGGUAUAAAAGGAGAAGUACGCAUUUCUCGUUUCAGUUCUCGCGUUCACUUCAGCCUAGAGAAGACAGCAAAAUGAAAAUAAUCGUGGUAAUAUUUCUCAUCGCAGUUUGCCUCCAAAGUUGCUUGGCUUGCUAUCUAGGCAGACAGUAUCUCAACUACAUUCGUCAAUCUCUUCAAAGACGCAAUUCCCAGUACUCCGGUGAUGAAAAUGAUUCGCCAUAUCCAAUGAAUCCCUAUGAUCGCUCACAGCCUCGUUAUCGCAAUGGUGGUGAUUUUGAUAAUGGUGAUGGUAUUGGUAUUGAUGGAGAUUUUGACAAUAGCAAUGAUGUUGAUGAUGCAGGACGUAGAGGAGGUCGUCGCAAUGGUCGCAAUGGUGGACGGAUUGGUGAUCGUGUUGAUUCUGAUGUUGGAGCUGGUGACAAUCAAGGCCGCAGAAAUGAUGAAAAUAAAGAUGAUCGCAGAAACAAUAACGUAGUAGUUGAUGGCAGAAAUAAUGAAAGUAAUAACAAUGGACGCGAUGAUCCAUCGCAAAAUUCACAAAAACAACAACGGGUGAAUUAAUCGAACAUGAGCACUUUUUUCGUGCAACAUUUUUUUGCUCAUCAACUACCUAAGUGUUAUGUUUAGCAUUAUUUAUGUAAGUACUUGAUCAUUGGAAAAUUAAAAUUCAUAUUUGCAAAGGUAA